UAGGGAAUCUUCCGCAAUGGGCGAAAGCUUGACGGAGCAACGCCGCGUGAGUGAUGAAGGUCUUCGGAUCGUAAAACUCUGUUAUUAGGGAAGAACAAAUGUGUAAGUAACUAUGCACGUCUUGACGGUACCUAAUCAGAAAGCCACGGCUAACUACGUGCCAGCAGCCGCGGUAAUACGUAGGUGGCCAGCGUUAUCCGGAAUUAUUGGGCGUAAAGCGCGCGUAGGCGGUUUUUUAAGUGUGAUGUGAAAGCCCACGGCUCAACCGUGGAGGGUAAUUGGAAACUGGAAGACUUGAGUGCAGAAGAGGAAAGUGGAAUUCCAUGUGAAGCGGGGAAAUGCGCAGAGAAAUGGAGGAAAACAAGUGGCGAAGGGGACUUUCUGGUCUGUAACUGACGCUGAUGUGCGAAAGCGUGGGGAUCAAACAGG
rnacentral:rRNA from 1 species